CACUGUAGCGCCACUGAGGCAAAAUUAGUCUGGCAGAAACCCUGUAAUGCUUUCAGAACCCCUCACCAACACAUUUUGCUACACUUUGAAACACCAAAAAAUGAGCGGAGGUGUAUUUUGUUUUUUACAUGUUAUGUAUUUACAACUUGUUUGGAGUCUUGUUGUGGUAAAUUCGGUGGGCCAUAUUUUCCAGAAAUUCCAUCACUCUUAGCAGCUGUGAGGACCGUCAUUUCGGACAAGAUCACAUAAAGCUCAAGCAAUGGAGGUGAAAGCGAAUAUGAGGCCAGUGUUGCUCUACCAUCACCUCCUCAACCCACAUCUCCCAAACCAACAUCAGUACCACUAGGGAAUGAUGACCAUUGUUGGGAGACCCUCCUGCUGGGCCUGUUCAGCAUUGAUGUCCUACUGAAGUCCAACCUGACGGGAGGGGUCAACAAGGUCGAUCCAUCUGCAGAGAGACGCCAGCCUCUGGAACCCAAGAAGCUUACAGCUUUACUCAAUGCAGUUGUUCAGCAACACCCAGGGGCGAAGAUUCCAGACAUACGAACGGCCAUAAACAAAAGGAUCUGUGAAUUAAGACACCAGGAGAAGAAAAAGUCCAUGGACAACUGAAGGACUGGCCAAGGCUGGCCAAUCAGAG